CAGCCGCCGCGGGAAUACGUAGGGUGCAAGCGUUAAUCGGAAUUACUGGGCGUAAAGCGUGCGCAGGCGGUUUGUUAAGACAGAUGUGAAAUCCCCGGGCUCAACCUGGGAACUGCAUUUGUGACUGGCAAGCUAGAGUGUGGCAGAGGGGGGUGGAAUUCCGCGUGUAGCAGUGAAAUGCGUAGAUAUGCGGAGGAACACCGAUGGCGAAGGCAGCCCCCUGGGCCAACACUGACGCUCAUGCACGAAAGCGUGGGGAGCAAACAGGAUUAGAUACCCGAGUAGUCCCUGUCUCUUAUAC
rnacentral:rRNA from 1 species